rnacentral:rRNA from 1 species
UACGGAGGGUGCGAGCGUUGUCCGGAAUCACUGGGCGUAAAGGGCGCGUAGGCGGUCCGGUAAGCGUGUGGUGAAAGCCCGGGGCUCAACCCCGGGUCUGCCGUGCGAACUGCCGGACUCGAGCACUGUAGAGGCAGGUGGAAUUCCGAGUGUAGCGGUGGAAUGCGUAGAGAUCCGGAAGAACACCAGUGGCGAAGGCGGCCCGCUGGGCAGUGGCUGACGCUGAGGCGCGACAGCGUGGGGAGCAAACAGG